AGGACGAACGCUAGCGGCGUGUCUGAAACAUGCAAGUCGAACGGGGUUCAGCAAUGAAUUCAGUGGCGAACGGGUGCGUAACACGUAAAGAACCUGCCCUUCAGCGGGGGAUAGCCCUGGGAAACCGGGGGUAAUACCGCAUGAGACCUUGUCUUCGCAUGAAGAAAAGGAGAAAGGGAUCAGACGAUAGUUUGAUUUCACUGGAGGAGGGCUUUGCGGCCUAUCAGGUAGUUGGGAGGGUAACGGCCUACCAAGCCUAAGACGGGUAGCUGGU
rnacentral:rRNA from 1 species